CAACCACUCAAGCUUGGCUUGGUAUUGGGAUCCGCGGUCUCGCGGCCCUUAAAAUUAGUGGCGGUGCUAUCUGGCUCUUGGCGUAGUAAACUCCUCGUUACAGAGUCUGGUAGUGUCUGUCAGAAACCCCCUCUCUAUGG
rnacentral:misc_RNA from 1 species